ACUCACAAGUUCAGAAGUAAAGCCGUUC
rnacentral:sRNA from 1 species